CAGAAGAUGUCAAAAUCGAAGGAAAACCGAGAGAAGAAAAGCACUGACGCAGGUUAGAGUUGUACCCUGUCCACUAUAGAAUUUAUGUUGGCGAUGCGCUUGUAAGAGUUUAUCCAUAGAGAUGUAUAGAUGACCCUAGUGCCAAAAGCCUGUUUUAGCAUGGACAGCACCAUAGAUGACUUAAACCAUUUGAAUAAGUCAACUGGGUGAGACUUCCCAUGAGUUAAGGAUCACAUAAUUCCAUCCAGGUCAUGAGGAGGGAUCAGCCACUGAAUUAUACUUGUGAGCAAACAUUCCAUAACUGCAGGUGGCAGUAAAUCACCAACCUUGGCCUUAUACCUGUUCUAUAAUGGUUCAAACAACACAAUUCAGGUGGCAGUAAAUCACCAACCUUGGCCUAUACCUGGUCUAUAAUGGUUCAAACAACACAUUCAGGUGCAGUAAAUCACCACACCUUGGCCUUAUACCUGUUCUAUAAUGGUUCAAACAACACAAUUCAGGUGGCAGUAAAUCACCAACCUUGGCCUUAUACCUGUUCUAUAAUGGUUCAAACAACACAAUUCAGGUGGCAGUAUGCACCCUCAUAGAAGGACAUUCUAAUAUGUAUUGGGUCAGGGGGGAAUACUUAUCAACUGAUUUCAAUCUGAAUUGUAACAUUUUGGCACUGUCAACAAGGACUGUCGCUGACUGGAUGUUUUCUAUUUGUCACACGAUUCUCGGGAAACACUAGACAAUGUCGUGCGUGAAAAGUCCAGGAGGGCAGCUAUUUCUGAGAUACUGGAUCCAUCCGGCGUGCCUGACACCGACAAUCAUACCACACUCAAGGUCACUUAGGUCACUGGUUUGGCCAGUGUUUCUAAAAUUAAUUUGAACAGUAACUGAAUGCCUCGAUGUCUGUCUGCCAGCUUUAUAUAACAAGCCACUUGACUCAAUGUCGGUAGGAGCGAUCUGUUUUUGUGAACGGGAUGGUGUACCUAAUAAACUGGCCAGUGAGUUUAGAUACCUGCUAUGCUGAUUUUUUAUUAUUAUUUUUUUUUUUUAUUUAACCUUUUUUUUUUAACU
rnacentral:lncRNA from 1 species